AAUGGAACAAGAAAGUCUAGAUGACAGCACAUUUGUUUACAGCAUGGUAUACUGAAUAUUUUAAGCCCACUGUUGAGAUCUACUGAUCAGUAAAAAAG